rnacentral:rRNA from 1 species
AAUAUUGGACAAUGGGCGCAACCCUGACCCAGCAAUGCCGCGUGCAGGAGGACGCCCUUCGGGGUGUAAACUGCUUUUGUGGGGGAGCAGACAAGGAGCGUACCCCACGAAUCAGUCACGGCUAACUACGUGCCAGCAGCCGCGGUAAUACGUAGGUGGCGAACGUUAUCCGGAGUGACUGGGUGUAAAGGGUCCGUAGGCGGGGAUCUAAGUCUGACGUGAAAGCGCCCGGCUCAACUGGGCGAGUGCGUUGGAAACUGGGUCUCUUGACUCACGCAGAGGUCGGCGGAAUUCCCGGUGUAGUGGUGGAAUGCGUAGAGAUCGGGAGGAACCUCGAAAGCGAAGGCAGCCGACUGGGGGAUGAGUGACGCUGAGGGACGAAAGCGUGGGGAGCGAAC